rfam:Triticum aestivum genome assembly, contig: Triticum_aestivum_CS42_TGACv1_scaffold_080642_1DS
AUUGUACUCCCUCCAUCCGGAAUUACUUGUCGCAGAAACAGAUAAAAAUAGAUGUAUCUAGAGUUAAAAUAUGUUAGAUACUUCUAUUUCUCCAACAAGUAAUUCUGGACGGAGGGAGUAUCUA